rnacentral:rRNA from 1 species
UACGUAGGUGGCAAGCGUUGUCCGGAUUUAUUGGGUUUAAAGGGUGCGUAGGCGGUUCUAUAAGUCAGUGGUGAAAUACGGCAGCUCAACUGUCGAGGUGCCAUUGAUACUGUAGGACUAGAGUACUGUUGAGGUAGGCGGAAUGGACGGUGUAGCGGUGAAAUGCUUAGAUAUCGUCCAGAACACCGAUAGCGAAGGCAGCUUACUAAAGAGUAACUGACGCUGAGGCACGAAAGUGUGGGGAUCAAACAGG